rnacentral:rRNA from 1 species
UACGGGGGGAGCAAGCGUUGUUCGGAUUUAUUGGGCGUAAAGAGCUCGUAGGCGGUUUGUCGCGUCUGCUGUGAAAACUCGGGGCUUAACCCCGGGCCUGCAGUGGGUACGGGCAGACUAGAGUGCGGUAGGGGAGACUGGAAUUCCUGGUGUAGCGGUGAAAUGCGCAGAUAUCAGGAGGAACACCGGUGGCGAAGGCGGGUCUCUGGGCCGUAACUGACGCUGAGGAGCGAAAGCAUGGGGAGCGAACGGG